UAUCAACUCGAGACGGCGGGGUAGAGGCCCGCCGCGGUAACGACGGGUAACGGGGAAUCAGGGUUCGAUUCCGGAGAGGGAGCCCGAGAAACGGCUACCACUUCCAAGGAAGGCAGCAGGCGCGCAACUUACCCUAAUCUCGAUUCGAGGAGGUAGUGACAAGAAAUACCGAUGCGGGACCCUACGGGUGCCGCGUUCGGAAUGAGUACGAUUCGAACCACCUAACGAGGAACGAUCGGAGGGCAAGUCUGGUGCCAGCAGCCGCGGUAAUUCCAGCUCCAAUAGCGUACGUUAAAGUUGCUGCAGUUAAAAAGCUCGUAGUUGAACGUUCGGGUUCCGCGGGACGGGGCCGCCCCGCGAGGGACGGCGCCGCCCCGGGGCUCGUGAUAUCUCAUCUCGCCGCCCGUCGCGAGGCGGACGGAGGGAUGGAUGAGGUUACCUGGAAAAAAUCGGGGCGAUCUAGGCGGGCGAACCUCGCCAACGAACGAUCGGACAUGGG
rnacentral:rRNA from 1 species